CCGCUACCUUUAGCAGCACAUAUACUAAAACUGGAACGAUACAGAGAAGAUUAGCAGGGCCCUUAAACAAACAUGAUCUGCAAAUUCAUGAGGUAUUCCAUAUUUUA
ensembl:snRNA U6 U6 spliceosomal RNA